rnacentral:misc_RNA from 1 species
GAUGAAGGUUUCUAUAGGGAAUGGAGGAAAUGACAACAUCAUCACUCUGAAGGUAGGGGACGGUCAAUGUUCACUUGAUUUCAGGGGUCUGAUUGACAGCGCUGAGAAAACAUCUCAGUUCAAUUAUGCUCUCCCAUCCUUCGGAAUAAUGUGUUUGGUUGCAAUUGCAUUAGUGGCUACAAUCUUAUUGUACAUCAAGCGGAGGCUUCUAGUAAGCAAUGGCCACAUGUAUCAAAAACUGGACAAUGCUUUACCAGUUUCCAGUGGCGGAAAGGUAGAGACACUCUCAACUGAUGGAUGGGACAAUAACUGGGAUGACAAUUGGGACGACGAGGAGGCACCCAAAGCACCAUCCUUGCCAGUCACUCCUUCACUCUCUUCUAAAAUCAUCUCCGCACGAUGGUCUAGUAAGGAAGGCUGGAAAGACUAAUCUUGAUGAGUGUCCGCGAAAUGCUUUCUUUGCAUCAACCUUUUUUUCCUUCCACUUGGUAAGUAUAGAGAAUAGAAAUGACUUAAAUUGCACAGUAAUCGCGACUCGUGGCAAUACGAUUCAAAUCGUGACCUCUUGCCAUAUCGAGUUGCCCCUCGGACUCUUCCCUUUCAAUAUCUUUGAAAGAGGGAAGUCCCUUUUUCUGGGCUUGAUGAGAAAUGCCCUAUAGCUUGAGUUUCUUUUUGCUUUUCUUUUCCUUCUAACUCACUCAGUAUGCUUGAUGAAUUACUCCUAAAGGUUGAAGAUGUUUCUAGACCCGCUUUGUGCAGUUCAAUAUUCACGUUGAAAUCUCG